UUCGGCGCUGUGAUUGGCCGGC
rnacentral:miRNA from 1 species